GAAUGAACGCUGGCGGCAGGCUUAACUCAUGCAAGUCGAACGAUUAAAGCACCUUCGGGUGUGUAUAAAGUGGCAAACGGGUGAGUAACACGUGGGAAUGUACCUUUUGGUUUGGAAUAGCCUUGGAAACGAAGAUUAAUGCCGAAUACGCUCUACGGAGGAAAGAUUUAUCGCCAAAAGAUCAGCCCGCGCUAGAUUAGCUAGUUGGUAAGGUAAUGGCUUACCAAGGCUACGAUCUAUAGUUGGUCUGAGAGGAUGAUCAGCCACACUGGGACUGAGAUACGGCCCAGACUCCUACGGGAGGCAGCAGUGAGGAAUAUUGCGCAAUGGAGGAAACUCUGACGCAGCCAUGCCGCGUGUGUGAUGAAGGCCUUAGGGUUGUAAAACACUUUAAGCAGGGAAGAUAAUGACGGUACCUGCAGAAUAAGCCCCGGCUAACUCCGUGCCAGCAGCCGCGGUAAUACGGAGGGGGCUAGCGUUAUUCGGAAUUACUGGGCGUAAAGCGCGCGUAGGCGGACUGGAAAGUCAGAGGUGAAAUCCCAGGGCUCAACCUUGGAACUGCCUUUGAAACUAUCAGUCUAGUAUUUGGUAGAGGUAAGUGGAAUUCUUAGUGUAGCGGUGAAAUGCGUAGAUAUUAAGAGGAACACCAGUGGCGAAG
rnacentral:rRNA from 1 species